rnacentral:piRNA from 1 species
UAAAGCUGUGUAGUACUCCAUUGCCUGUGU